GAUGAACGCUGGCGGCGUGCCUAACACAUGCAAGUCGAACGGAAUCUUCGGAUUUAGUGGCGGACGGGUGAGUAACGCGUGAGAAUCUGCCUUUAGGUUCGGGACAACAGUUGGAAACGACUGCUAAUACCGAAUGUGUCGUAAGAUAAAAGAUUUAUCGCCUAGAGAUGAGCUCGCGUCUGAUUAGCUAGUUGGUGGGGUAAAAGCUUACCAAGGCGACGAUCAGUAGCUGGUCUGAGAGGAUGAUCAGCCACACUGGGACUGAGACACGGCCCAGACUCCUACGGGAGGCAGCAGUGGGGAAUUUUCCGCAAUGGGCGAAAGCCUGACGGAGCAACGCCGCGUGAGGGAGGAAGGCUCUUGGGUUGUAAACCUCUUUUCUCAAGGAAGAUAAUGACGGUACUUGAGGAAUCAGCAUCGGCUAACUCCG
rnacentral:rRNA from 1 species